AAAUUGAAGAGUUUGAUCAUGGCUCAGAUUGAACGCUGGCGGCAGGCCUAACACAUGCAAGUCGAACGGUAACAGGAAGAAGCUUGCUUCUUUGCUGACGAGUGGCGGACGGGUGAGUAAUGUCUGGGAAACUACCUGAUGGAGGGGGAUAACUACUGGAAACGGUAGCUAAUACCGCAUAACGUCGCAAGACCAAAGAGGGGGACCUUCGGGCCUCUUGCCAUCGGAUGUGCCCAGAUGGGAUUAGCUAGUAGGUGGGGUAACGGCUCACCUAGGCGACGAUCCCUAGCUGGUCUGAGAGGAUG
rnacentral:rRNA from 1 species